UACGUAGGGAGCAAGUGUUGUCCGGAAUCAUUGGGCGUAAAGCGCGCGUAGGCGGCCCUGUAAGUCCGCUGUGAAAGUCAAAGGCUCAACCUUUGAAAGCCGGUGGAUACUGCAGGGCUAGAGUCCGGAAGAGGCGAGUGGAAUUCCUGGUGUAGCGGUGGAAUGCGCAGAUAUCUGGAGGAAUACCGGUGGCGAAGGCGGCGAUCCUGGACCGAGAUUGACGCUGAGGCGCGAAAGCGUGGGGAGCAAACAGGG
rnacentral:rRNA from 1 species